UGUCAAGCCACAACGACAGAGCUUUAUAAGCACCAAGAGAAAGAACUGAACUUUUAAAGCUUUCUUCUCUUUUCCUGAAGCAACCAUUGUGAAAAUGGCUGGCCUUGAUCAUGCUGCCGCUGUUGAUUACUGCGCUCGUGAGCUACGUCAGGUUGGAGACAAACUUUACUGGAGAUACAAACUGCUGAAAAUGCUGAUCAAGAACUACAAGACUGUCACUAAUAUCAAGUGAGAUGUGACGUCAAAGUGCAAAAACAGGAAUUGGAUUUUAGCAAAACUGGAUGACAUUCAGAGCCAAAGCCGGAGAGUCUUAGAUACGGACUCGUCACUGGUGGGAAAACUGUGGUUCUCAAGUGGGAUGUGGGCUCGUGGUAACACCCUGAUGGAGAUGUUGGAUGUGGACUGUCAGUGGACUGCUGUCAAAUUCAAGACUGGAGUCCUGCCGAGGAAGCCAACUGUGUGGGAUGCUGUUGACCCAGACCGAUUCACGGGUGACUGGAAGCAAAGUGGAACAUCUGAACGGAAGUUAUCUGCUAAAAGAUGUUGAUUGUCACAUGUAUUCUGUAAAAACUACUAUAGGCAUAUAUGGAGAAGUAUGCAUGUUAAACUCUGUAAGCCUGUCACAUUUAUGUAAACAGGAGAAUUGAAGACUUACUUACUACUUACUUAUCUACUCUUCAAAUAAGUCUUUCUAAUGGGGAAGUUAAGGGUUGGGAAAAUAUACUUAUCUGCUUUCUUGCUGAGAAUUCUAAUGGGGAAGUUAUGAGUUGAUAAUAAAAUGUGCAUAUUUUA